CACAAGCGGUGGAGCAUGUGGUUAAUUCGAAGCAACGCGAGAACCUUACCAGGUCUUGACAUCCCGAUGCUAUUUCUAGAGAUAGAAAGUUACUUCGGUACAUCGGUGACAGGUGGUGCAUGGUUGUCGUCAGCUCGUGUCGUGAGAUGUUGGGUUAAGUCCCGCAACGAGCGCAACCCCUAUUGUUAGUUGCCAUCAUUCAGUUGGGCACUCUAGCGAGACUGCCGGUAAUAAACCGGAGGAAGGUGGGGAUGACGUCAAAUCAUCAUGCCCCUUAUGACCUGGGCUACACACGUGCUACAAUGGUUGGUACAACGAGUUGCGAGUCGGUGACGGCGAGCUAAUCUCUUAAAGCCAAUCUCAGUUCGGAUUGUAGGCUGCAACUCGCCUACAUGAAGUCGGAAUCGCUAGUAAUCGCGGAUCAGCACGCCGCGGUGAAUACGUUCCCGGGCCUU
rnacentral:rRNA from 1 species